UUUAUUUUUUUAUUUUUUGACAUGCUAAAAACAUUAUUCUUUCAGGGGAACAAAAUUAUAAAAAUGGGAAAUGAAACAUUAUUUUAGAACCCCUACCCUCAGUGUGAUUUAUAAAUCAUGUUUUAGUCACAAUCAGGUGACCACCCACCUGCUGUGACUUUACUAGUUUAGUAGAGCUGCUUAAACGCAGUCGAGUUCCUUAUGAGGUUCAACCUCCUUAUGUUUACGCAACUAAAGUUUCACUUUGACUCUCUUGGCUGAUCCUCCAGUGAUUCAGUCUCUCCUCUGUUGGUUUCAGCCAAACGGUGGACGGAAACUGUACAGAUUCUCAACCAGCCCCUGCAGCAGGCAAAUGUUUUCUUUGAUUUCCACACAAAGAAAUCUCUGAUUAGAGGUGAAUUCUCCACUGAACACAUUGUGUUAUGAGGAUAGUAUCUUAAAAUCGUCUUCAAUACGUGGGGAAAAACCCAACUCAAACCCAACUCAAGAGCAUGAAUCCCAUAACCUCUGAAGUGAGUUGUGUAGUCCCAGUGAGUUCUUUCUGGUAUCUGAAUCAUGUCUGCAAUAAAGAAAUUAAAGUCAUAGAACAAAAGCACAAAGUUCAAAUGGUGGCACACGUCAAUGUGUCAUUUCAAGCUGAUCAGGGAGCUGGAAGUCCACUUGCAGCUAUGUCUGAGUUCUUAGAGCUGAAUCUUGUGGUUCACUCAUUCCUCUCAAGUUUGUUGAUCCAGAUCAGUGGAGCGAUGCAUUCAGGGUCAUCCAGAAAGCUGAAAAAAAGUUUUUGCUUACUCUGACAUCUGAGGAAAUCACUGCAUUUGGGCCAAGCUGCAGUCAGGAUGCAUUCAGCGAUGCAAUAAAUGCAAUGAAGAAAGGAACAAACCUUCUCAAGGAGUCUGAAUUGAGAGCUCAGGCAACACCAUCAAAGAUGGACCAGAACGUGAAAGAUUUGCUUUCAACAAAAAUGGAUAUGCUCUGCAGCAAAAGAACUGACACUUCGACUUAUGCAGUAAAUGCUUUCAGACUCCCAACAUGUGAAAGAAAAGCCCAGCUUCCAAAGUCCUGUACUUCUAGAUCAACUUUGUCCUUCACCCUUCCUUCUAAAAGUACAUCAGAAGGUGGCAAUAAAUUCACUUCUUUGAAAAUCACUAAAAAACCUACAUUAUCAAAAGAAAAGCCUGGUAAAGAAUACUGUUCUAUAUGUUCACUGCCAUUGAAUAAAAAGAGGCGGCUGAAGUGUCAACAUGAAUUUUGUGAAGAGUGCCUAGAGGAUGCAUUACAUCAGACUGGGUCCAUAUGUCCCAUAUGCAACCAUGUCUUUGAUGUGUUAACGGGAGAUCAGCCAAACGGACAGAUGUCAUGGGUCAAAAAUUCAGAUUCUCUCCCUGGAUUCUCAGGCUGUGGCCACAUCGUCAUCACUUACAACAUCGCCAAUGGAGUACAGACGGACAGACAUCCCAACCCAGGAAAGCCAUUUUCUGGUACUUGCAGAACUGCAUAUCUUCCAGACAACAAAGAAGGCAAUGCUGUUCUGCAACUUUUAAAGAAAGCAUUUGACCAGAGGCUGAUUUUUACAGUUGGCAAUUCCGAAACAAAUGGCCUAGAAAAUCAGGUUAUUUGGAAUGACAUUUCCCACAAGACAUCUCUGUCAGGAGGCAUAAAGAAUUUUGGAUAUCCUGAUCCCAACUAUUUGGAAAGAGUCAAGAAGGACCUGAAAGCUAAAGGCAUCAAGGAAGACUGAAACCAAUGAAACCUUUUCUUAAGAUUAACCUUUGUAAGACUUUAUAAAACUUUCAAAGACUUUGCAUGACUUUGUUUUUUGUUUUUUUCUUUCAUACGUCAAUAUAUUUUAACAGACUGGGCAUAAAAAGGUCAUAAAAAUUUGAGGACUUUAACUUGGUGAAUAAUUAUUUACUAGAUGAGAAAUGAUGCACUUGUUUGCAGUCUCACAGCUAAUAAGUUAUAUCUAGCAUUAAACCAUUUUCUUAUCUUUAACAAUAAUGUAUUCAAAUAUUUUAGUGUUUCUACAGUCAUUAGCCUAGUUGACAGACUGUGAUUAGAUUGAGUUUUUUGCAGUCUAGUUUUUUUUUGCCAAAAUAACAAUCAUUUUUUAUGUUUCUGAUCUAAAGUGUGGAAAUAUAUAUUUGAAAAAAAUGGCAUAAUCCCUGUUUAUGGGACAAGUAAAUUGUUUUUGUAAUAAUGGUCUGUUAUAAUUCAGUUGAUCAUUAAGGAACCCCAAGAAAAUAAAGGAAAAAUGUAUAUGC